AGGAGAGUUUGAUCCUGGCUCGGGAUGAACGCUGGCGGCGUGCUUAACACAUGCAAGUCGAACGGAGUAUCAAGAAUGAAGUUUUCGGAUGGAUUUUUUGAUACUUAGUGGCGGACGGGUGAGUAACGCGUGGGUAACCUGCCUCAUACAGGGGGGAUAACAGUUGGAAACGACUGUUAAUACCGCAUAAGACCACAGUACCGCAUGGUACAGGGGUAAAAACUCCGGUGGUAUGAGAUGGACCCGCGUCUGAUUAGUUAGUUGGCGGGGUAACGGCCCACCAAGACGACGAUCAGUAGCCGAUCUGAGAGGAUGACCGGCCACAUUGGGACUGAGACACGGCCCAAACUCCUACGGGAGGCAGCAGUGGGGAAUAUUGCACAAUGGGGGGAACCCUGAUGCAGCGACGCCGCGUGAGUGAAGAAGUAUUUCGGUAUGUAAAGCUCUAUCAGCAGGGAAGAAGAUGACGGUACCUGAGUAAGAAGCCCCGGCUAACUACGUGCCAGCAGCCGCGGUAAUACGUAGGGGGCAAGCGUUAUCCGGAUUUACUGGGUGUAAAGGGAGCGCAGACGGCGCGGCAAGUCUGAAGUGAAACUCCGGGGCUUAACCCCGGAACUGCUUUGGAAACUGCCGAGCUCGAGUAUCGGAGGGGCAGGCGGAAUUCCCAGUGUAGCGGUGAAAUGCGUAGAUAUUGGGAAGAACACCGGUGGCGAAGGCGGCCUGCUGGACGAUAACUGACGUUGAGGCUCGAAGGCGUGGGGAGCAAACAGGAUUAGAUACCCUGGUAGUCCCCU
rnacentral:rRNA from 1 species